rnacentral:rRNA from 1 species
UACGGAGGGUGCGAGCGUUGUCCGGAAUCACUGGGCGUAAAGGGCGCGUAGGCGGCCGUGUAAGUCACUUGUGAAAUCCCGGGGCUCAACUCCGGGGCUGCAGGUGAGACUGCGUGGCUAGAGCACGGUAGAGGCGAGUGGAAUUCCCGGUGUAGCGGUGGAAUGCGUAGAUAUCAGGAGGAACACCCGUAGCGAAGGCGGCACUCUGGGCCGAUACUGACACUGAGGAGCGAAAGCGUGGGGAGCGAACAGG